GUGAGAGUUACAGAGGGUGCAGCAGCAGCUUGGUAAGGGAGCUAGAAAAAGUAAAGCACAACAUGAACACCAGCGAAACAGUUGCAAAGCUACAAAUAGCCAGAUUGGAGGCAGAAGAAAGGGAGAAACAACAGGAACUCCAGAGACCGAGAGAAGCAUUUGCUGCACUGGAAGCAGAGGAAACGCCCACAGGCAAGCCAUGGAGCUGAGACAACAAGAAGCUGAAGCCCAUAAGAGACAUGGGGCUCAAAGACAGAGGGGCUGAAGAGAAAGAGAGAAAUACAACCUGGAGCUGAUAGAAAAACAUGAAAAGAUUCCAGAGAGUCACCAACAUCUCCCUCCACUCAAGGAACCCUCAGCUUUGUCCUGCAGACAAAGAGCCAGACUGCACUGAGGAAUCCCUCACCACUUUUGAAAGGCUACGUGAGGUUCAUAACAUUCCUGAGGAUGAGAAAGUCCUCAAACUGAUUGCAAAACUGUCUGGUAAAGCUUGAAAUGUAUUUACUGAAAUGCCAAGUCAGGACGCUCUGAAAUACUCUGAAUUUAAGAACGCUGUUUUACAAAGGUUUCAAAUUACUCCUGAAGUGCACAGGUUGAGAUUUAGAAAUCUCAAGAAAAGUGCUGGAGUGAGUCAUAGCAAAUGUGCCCGGAAGAUGUGUGAUCUAAUGAGAAAACAGAUAAAGGGGAAGGGGGCUGAGGAUUAUAAACAAUUGUUUGAUGUCUGGGCUCAAGAAUAUUUCCUAAGUAUAUGUGAGACGAAGAGCGGACUUUCACCUUGUAAUGUUGCAUGUGAGUCUUACCAUCCUAUACUAAUUCUGUGUGUACCUCAGUUUCCCUAUGUACUGCACCAACGCCUACAUGGUGGGAAUUGGGUGUGUGACUUUCGCUGAGGCCCUCGGCGCAGGUGAGGCUGCCCAGCUGCCUCCCAGUAAGCGAUGACCUUUGUAACCUGAGACCCAGGAGGGGGGUGCAACCAGGUGACACUUUUCCCAGGAAGCGAGACAAAGAAUGGAGAAGAAGCAAUGGUCAUGUGGGAGGCCAGGCAGCAGGAUCCAGGGAAGUCUGCUGUGGGGGACUGGAAAAGGGGGAGUCCAGGGUGUCUGGCCCAGGGUCCCCUCAAGACGGACUUUGCUAAAAGUCCCUGACUUCUGUGCUAACAAGCUCUGUUCUAUGCUGUGUUCCUGUUGACUAAUAAACCCUUGUGUUUUACAA